rnacentral:rRNA from 1 species
GACGAACGCUGGCGGCGUGCUUAACACAUGCAAGUCGAACGGAAAGGCCCUGCUUUUGUGGGGUGCUCGGGUGGCGAACGGGUGAGUAACACGUGAGUAACCUGCCCUUGACUUUGGGAUAACUUCAGGAAACUGGGGCUAAUACCGGAUAGGAGCUCCUGCUGCAUGGUGGGGGUUGGAAAGUUUCGGCGGUUGGGGAUGGACUCGCGGCUUAUCAGCUUGUUGGUGGGGUAGUGGCUUACCAAGGCUUUGACGGGUAGCCGGCCUGAGAGGGUGACCGGCCACCUUGGGACUGAGAUACGGCCCAGACUCCUACGGGAGGCAGCAGUGGGGAAUAUUGCACAAUGGGCGGACGCCUGAUGCAGCAACGCCGCGUGCGGGAUGCCGGCCUUCGGGUUGUAAACCGCUUUCGCCUGUGACGAAGCGUGAGUGACGGUAAUGGGUAAAGAAGCACCGGCUAACUACGUG